rnacentral:rRNA from 14 species
GGCGCCAAAGGUGCGGCAAGACGUCCAGGUGUCAGUGGCGGCGAUGAGAACGGCGGCGGCAGACUCUUGGGCGGACUUGGUGGGCGUGAAGAUGCUGACGGGGGUGGCGGAAGCGAUCGGGACAAACUUGGCGUCAGGGUCUCAAACCACGGAUC